rnacentral:rRNA from 1 species
GAUGAACGCUGGCGGCGUGCCUAAUACAUGCAAGUCGAGCGAAUGGAUUAAGAGCUUGCUCUUAUGAAGUUAGCGGCGGACGGGUGAGUAACACGUGGAUAACCUGCCCAUAAGACUGGGAUAACUCCGGGAAACCGGGGCUAAUACCGGAUAACAUUAUGAACCGCAUGGUUCGAAAUUGAAAGGCGGCUUCGGCUGUCACUUAUGGAUGGACCCGCGUCGCAUUAGCUAGUUGGUGAGGUAACGGCUCACCAAGGCAACGAUGCGUAGCCGACCUGAGAGGGUGAUCGGCCACACUGGGACUGAGACACGGCCCAGACUCCUACGGGAGGCAGCAGUAGGGAAUCUUCCGCAAUGGACGAAAGUCUGACGGAGCAACGCCGCGUGAGUGAUGAAGGCUUUCGGGUCGUAAAACUCUGUUGUUAGGGAAGAACAAGUGCUAGUUGAAUAAGCUGGCACCUUGACGGUACCUAACCAGAAAGCCACGGCUAACUACGUGCCAGCCGCCGCUGUAA